UGCUCCCCUGCCACAAAACUUAAAGAAUACACUUCGUGGACAGUGACUACCUGCUGCCAAUCCACGGAUGGCAGAAUAAGGGUGUGGAGAUGAGGAAUUGGAGGGCUCAGCUCCAAGAGGAAGAAAAGCCAGCGUGCCAUUGAGGCAAAGAUAGCUAUAAAUUAACCCAGCAGCAGGAAUGUCCGUUCGUCUCCGCUAACUCACCAGAAACACGCUGUUCCAGCAGAGAGGAAGCUACAUUUCUUCUUUAAGCCCUGCUGCCUGAAGAUGUCUUCUCCAAGCAGCCGUCAGUGCCUCACCACGGUGACAAGGUUGCCUUUCCUUCUACUCUUGGUACACUACGAGCUGUGAUUCAUUCUGCUCCUGAGUCAUGUCUGAAGGCCAGUCCAACAGGUACUGGCAACAGUUGGCUAAGUCAACAGGCUGCUAAGAGGCUUUGCAGUGCCACAAGGCUGAUGGGCUGGCUGGCUGUGCCAUCCACAUUGGGAAAGGAGGUUCCUCCUACCUGAACUAUUUGAUCUAUGGAUGGAGCUGCAUACUGCAGAGCAAGCUAGGUACCUCUCUGACAGGCUUGGAGCACACAGCUAGCACUGGUUAGCUAAGGUUAAUUGGAGACGAGCACUGUAUCCUUACAUUUGUCUUGUUCUUGGCUUCUUCCAGCUUGAAAUAAAGUGUCUUUGGCAC